UGUUUGUUUGUUUGUGAAGUGUUUUAUCAUCUUGUGACCAGAAUGCCGAAUGUUCAAUGCAUUAAUUGUAACGUUCGUUUGAGUCGCAUCAGGCGGCACGUUCUGUCAGAUGAGAGUGAUGUUCUGGUGAACACUAUCCGGCUAUGGACAUAUCCUAGAGAGUUGACACCAUCAGACCUUAUUUGCCAUGCUUGCUGGCAACUAGCAACACACGGGUCAACAUCCUCUGACAAUAUACCCAGAAGACAAGUUGGUCAUCAAAAUGUCUGUAUUGUUUGUGGACGGUCUAUAUUAAGGAUUAAUAGACGAAGAGUUUUAGUUGAUGGAGCAAAUGAAGUAGAACAAAGAAUAUCCAAUGUUAUAUCUCAAUGGAUCCAACCACAGCAGCUUACCCAAAAUGAUGAGGCUUGUGUACCAUGUUGGCUUCGAGCAUCAAGAACUAGGGAUGUACCACUGGUGCCACCACAGCCAGAAAACCAGUCUACAAAUCCAACUGUGCAAAGUGAACCUGAUCCAAACGCAACCUGUUCUGUAUGUGGAAAUACUUUGCUUUCUACUAUGAGGCAAACAUCUGCCACAGAAGAACAGAGGAUAAUGGAAAUGAUUUCCCACUUGAUGGAAAACCAGCAGAUGCCACCUUCAAAUGAACUCUGUCGUGCCUGCUGGGGACGUGCACAAGAAAUAGAGUAUCCUCAAAUAAAUGUAAAUGAGAAUGAUGUUGUUCAGCAACCUCAAUUUAUUUCAUUGCCUAAUAUGCGACGAGCAGCUGAAACACCAAGACAUUGCAUUUUUCAAGAAUGCAGUGGGCUAGAGCGACAUACUAUACCAGAAGACACUCGCCGCCGUGUAUUGCUACAUUUUAAUUAUUUUAUACCAAGAGGUUCACGUAUCUGCAGACAACAUUUAGAAAAUGAACAAUAUGAUAGUUUGUACUCGGCAGAAUAUAGCCUGGAUACAUUUAAAGCUGACUACAUAGAAGAAAUUGUAUUUAUAUUAAUGGAAGGCUUAAAUAAUGUGAAUUAUGAAAAUAUUCAAAACUACCCUGAUCAUCAAGUCCUGUAUUUUAUAGGUUUCACAAAGAGGCAACACCAACAGAUUUUGGAUGAAACACCCAAUCUUAAAAAUAUGCAUCGGGGUAGUUUUGCAUUAACCGUACUUCUGUGCAAAUUAAGAACAGGGGACUCUGGGGACAGAUUAUCUUGUCUUUUUCAAGUUCCGCGAAGAACUUUGGAAACGUUGAUGUCUGUGGCUAGAAAUAUUUUAAUACGGGACUAUGUACCCCGACAUAUAGGCUUUGACCACAUGACAAGGGAGCAAGUGGCAGCUAAAAAUUCUAUCGUUGCUGAUGGUAUUCUGGGUGACCCUGAUGUCCCACCACAGCAAAAACCAGCCAUUAGCAUUGCAGAUGCAACAUAUUUGUACACUCAAAAGAGUUCUAACUAUUUGUUUCAAAAGGAAACAUAUUCCCUCCAUAAAUAUAGGAAUUUGGUCAAACCAUUUAUUUUGUGCUGUUGUAAUGGGUAUAUCAUUGAUGUUCGCGGACCAUAUAGUGCCACUACAAAUGAUGCGACAAUAAUGCGCGAAUUGUUAAAUAAUCCGGAAUUUAAUAAUUUCUAUGAUGAAAAUGACAUAUUCGUCCUAGAUCGCGGUUUUCGGGAUUGCAUGGAUGCAUUGCACGAUAAAGGAUAUAUAGGCCAUAUGCCAGAAACAAAAGAAGACGGUCAUUCACAGUUGACCACCCUUGAAGCAAACAGGUCACGCUGUGUGACUAUAAACAGAUGGGUGGUUGAAGCUGUGAAUGGCCGUUUUAAAAGAGAUUUUAAAAUAUUCCGUCACGAAUAUUUUAAUCGUGCCUGUACACAUCUAAUGGACAAUUUUAAAAUAGCUGCUGCGCUACUAAACACAUUUUGCACCCAAUUCACCGACUCUCUCAAUGCUGAGGCGUUUGUAAAUAUUAUAAAUGAACGUAUGUUCCUCCAAAACACGAUUGCGGAUUUAGUUUUAGAACUUAACUUAAAUAGACGCAGUGCAAUAUUUAGUCCUAUUGAUGGCACAACCAUGGCAUUCCCAAGGCUAUCUAUGAAUGAACUAAUUCUUUUUGCUUGUGGCACCUAUCAGAUCAGACAGGCACGGUCAUACGUAGGUGAGCACUUUAGGUUUCAUGGCAUUUAUACCUUGGAAGUGAGUCGAGACCAUAUACCUGGUUUGGAGGGAACCAAUCCUUUGUUGCUUCGAGCAAAAAUAAAAUCUCGCCAUUCAUCAGGGAAGACAUAUUUUGUUUUUAUUGUGACAGAAAGAAAUAUGAAUGGACGAGAAGCAAUAAUAAGUUAUUGUUGCAACUGCAUUGUGGGGCUUAGAACUGUAGGGUGCUGCUCACAUGUAAUGAGCAUCAUCUGGUACCUAGGGUAUGCUCGCCAUGAAGGUAUAAUGCGACCAGCUCCCUUCCUAGAUGAUGUAAUUUUAAGAAUCUAGUUGUA